UCCGUGCCCCUCCUUUCUCCCUCUCAUCUCUCCGAGUCUCCCAUCUCUCUAUCUCCCUCCCUCCCUAGUCUCCUCCUUUCCUCUCCUCUCCUAGAUCCGGCAAAACCCUAGCCCCGCCUGCCAUGGCCCUCGUGCUGCGCCUCCGGUGGGCCCUCGCCACUGCCUCCACCGCGGCGCCCCUCCUCUGCUCGUCCGCCUCCCACGCCCGGCCCCUCCCCCUCGCGCCUCCCUCCGCCUUCCCGGCGGCGCCGCUCCUACGGGCGCCGUGGCAGCUCCUUCCCAGCGGUGCCGCCAGGUUCCGGUCGACGGCCGUGGCGGCGGUGUGGAGCCGACUACAAGGCAGAUGUCUCCCACCCUUAAGUGCCUCCCCCUCCCCUUCCCAUUCCCCUUCCCCUUGGAGCUCCUGCCCGCCGCCACCACCACCAUUGGAGCUUGUCCUCGCCAUCGCCGCUGGAUCCCCACCACCCAAAGCUGCUCCCUUGCCUCCUGGGCGCCCUGACCUCGGGCUCCUCCCUUGCCGCGCUGCAGUGAGCCCGUGGUCUUGAGGCCCGAGCUCCUCGCCGCCGGCUGUCACGACACAUUGAUGCCCAAGAUUGCUCCUUCGCAACAGCAUGGAACCUAGAUGGCCGAACAUUCACCACUGGAGAUCAAGACAAGACAUGCAGAGUAUGGGACAUCAGGAAUCUCUUCAAAUCACUUGUUGUAUUGUGUGGAUUUGUAUCAGCUCAAUAGAUUAGGACUGCAUUUGUAAUGUAUAUAGUGGAUAAAGCUUGUGAAUUUAUGAUGUAAAGAAUGGGUUAAACAUGUGUAUAUGUGAAAUAUAAAGGGUAUAUUCUGUCC